AGGAACCUCCAGAGACAGUGUGUAUCAGAUGGUCCAACAAUGUGGCAAAUGCUGAGUGGAGUUUUAAAAUCUUAAUUUAAUGGACAAGUGGUUGUACAUAUCCACAAGGUGAACGUGAUAUUUUUAGCACAUGCACACAAGGUGUGCUGAACAAAACAGCUUAAGGAAACCUUCCCUCACCAUAUCAUUACAGUAUGAUUGCAGGAUUUCAUUCUUCUUGAAGGCUGAAGAGCACUCAGUUAUACAUAUGCCACAUUUGACUUCUGUGAAGACUGCCCCAGGAACAUUGGGAAGUGCAGAUGAUGGGCAUAAUCUUUAGUGAAAUGAUGAAGAGGAACACCUUCCAUCAGCUGGCCAAAUGUGAUGAGGCUUCUGAAAAUACACCUGUAACAAAGUGCGGAAAAUCAAGAGGCACAGAGACAUAAAAGAUAUAUGAAAAUAAUUUGGAAAUAUGUAGAAAAUUUGUCUUAUUAGUCCAGAAGAACUUUUACCAGCAUUUUCGAUAAAGUGGGGAUUCAUAGGAAGAAAUAUCACAUUAUUGAGUCAGAUUCUU